AGUAGAGAAUCAGCAGCCCCUGAUUUUGCAUGUCCUCCAGGGUAAGAGGGACACGGCCCUGGAUGAUGGAUGCAGAGACAAGCCAGAGGCACAGAGGACUGACUUCACCCAACCCGGGUCUUCAGGAUCAUAGUAGGCCGGAGGCCGGAGGGAUACCCACAAACACCUACUGGGUGCAAGGAGAUACUACUGCAGGCCCCGCCCUGGUGCUUGAACAGGAGCUUCCAUCAGCAACCCAGGCCUCAGCUCAGAAAGACCCUUGGACCACUGGCCAGUGGGCUGAAGCUACAUGGGCCUGCAUGUCUCCUGCUGCUGACUUCACAGCUUUAGCUGUUGAGUCAGCCCUUCCUCCCCAACAUCAAUGCUUCCCAGAGUAGGCCUCUGCCCUGUGGCACAAGCCUGAGGUGCCCAGCAGAGGCCCUUUCAGUGAGUGACAAGCAAGAGUCAUGCACACUUCUGCAUUACUACUGGCUCAGGAAAAUAAGGGCCAGGGGUUGGGCAUCAAGCUGCAUGCAACCCCAUCUGGAACAGGACCGUGGUUUUGGUGUCAGUGCUCCUCAAUCUGCAGUCUCUGGUUGCCUCUGAACACCACUCAACAGGCCUCCCUCACCACCCCAUCCGGGACAUGUGAAUGGAAAGCUCCCACCCAAGACCACCACUACUGAAUUAGCCUGCUGCAUCCAUCACGGAAGCAUGAGGAGAGCACCGUGAGCGUUACCCAAAAGAGACUACUCAGUGUGCAAACUAGAGCUGAGGUGCUCUGCCGGGUGCAGGAAGCUGGGGACUAUGCUGGGGAUAUGGCUCUGUACACACGGAGGGAUAGAGGAGGAUGAAGGUCUUGGGUCUUGGGAGUGGAUACCUGGAGCCAAGCACGGCUCAUAUUGGGAGGGAACUGCUGAGAGUCUUGACUGAGAUCAGCACACGCAGCUGUGCCACAUGGAUCUAUACAGUCCAAACUGCUACAUUACUGCACUAGCCCUAGAAACUGAGAGAGCACAUCUUCUACAAAUGUGUUUCUUCAACUACUGAGGAGAGAGAGAGCUUUUACACUCUUGUCAGAAUUGUCUCCUGAUAACUUCAUUCCUUACAGUGUUUGUGUUGGAGCAUAACUUUAAGGAUUGUUGUUUUAAGAAUAAAUGAUUUUGUUUAGAAAUGUUU
ensembl:antisense Gm16122 predicted gene 16122